GACGAACGCUGGCUGCGUGCCUAAUACAUGCAAGUCGGACGCAGUUGCGAACGGGUGAGUAACGCGUAGGUAACUACCUAUUUGAGGGGGAUAACUAUUGGAAACGAUAGCUACUACUGCCUACUAGUAGAUGGACCUGCGUUGUAUUAGCUAGUAGGUAGGGUAAUGGCCUACCUAGGCGAAGGUACAUAGCCGACUUGGGAGGGUGAUCGGCCACAAUGGGAAUGAGACAACGACCAGGACGCAAAGGGAGGCAGAAGUAGGGGAUCUUCGGAAAUGGGGCGAACCCUGGCCGAGCAACGACGGGGGGGUGGAGAAGGUUUUCGGAUCGGAAAGCUCUGUUGUUAAGGAAGCGGUACUUAACCAGAAAGGGACGGCUAACUACGUGCCAGCAGCCGCGGUAAUAC
rnacentral:rRNA from 1 species